CCAGCAGUUUCCUCUGCCUGGAACACUCUUUCCACAGCGCUGGAUUACAACUGCUGGUCUCCCUGCCUGCCUUCCCCUGCUUCCCAGAGCACGAAGAGGCGUGCCUCCGCAACCCACUAUUUGUGUGACCUUGGUCCAGGAACUGGACUGGGCUCUCCUCCUGAAAGUGGGUAAAUAAUGUCACCGACCUAAUGAGGCUGUUGAGGCAUGGAAUCUGAUCAGGCAGAUAAAGUGCCCCUGGCAAACCUCAA
rnacentral:lncRNA from 1 species